UCAUUUCAAUUUAUGUUCCUUAAAAUAUUUUUCUACUGAAAUGGAACUUCUUUCUGUAAAAGUGAAAAAAGGAAGGUUGGAUAAAGCAGCUGAUACAUUCAAAACCUAUGUUGUUUUAAAAGUCCAAAAUGUAAGAAGCACGACAAUAGACAGA
rnacentral:lncRNA from 1 species